rnacentral:rRNA from 1 species
GAUGAACGCUAGCGACAGGCUUAACACAUGCAAGUCGAGGGGCAGCGGGUAGAUGAGCUUGCUCAUUUAUGCCGGCGACCGGCGCACGGGUGAGUAACACGUAUGCAACCUGCCCGUCUCAGGGGGAUAAUCGUCGGAAACGGCGUCUAAUACCCCGUAUGAAGCUGGACGGCAUCGUCUGGUUUUGAAAGAAUAUCGGAGACGGAUGGGCAUGCGGCGCAUUAGCUGGUUGGCGGGGUAACGGCCCACCAAGGCGACGAUGCGUAGGGGUUCUGAGAGGAAGGUCCGCCACACUGGUACUGAGACACGGACCAG